UACGGAGGGUGCAAGCGUUGUCCGGAUUUAUUGGGUUAAAGGGUGCGUAGGCGGCUCUUUAAGUCAGUGGUGAAAGCCGACAGCUUAACUGUCGAAAUGCCAUUGAUACUGGGGAGCUUGAGUACAGUAGAGGUAGGCGGAAUUAAUGGUGUAGCGGUGAAAUGCAUAGAUACCAUUAAGAACACCGAUUGCGAAGGCAGCUUACUAUAGUGUAACUGACGCGAGGCACGAAAGUGUGGGAUCAAACAGG
rnacentral:rRNA from 1 species